GUUGUUUGAGCUUGCUCGAUGCUCAUUUUAGCCGCCGCUGUGUCCGGUUUGUUGGAUUCGUUAGCUCGAAGCUCUUGUUCGGCAUUUGUCUUAUUGUACAGCUCUAUUCAGUGAGUUUUCUGUAUUCAAUCAAUUGAAGAAUCGAUUCUGACUUCACAAAAGGUCUGAUUCCUUAAUUACCUUUGUUUUUGUAUUAUCCUAUUAGUGAUUAAACAUUUGAUAAUUUUCUUCUUCUGCGUGAAAUUUAUUUUGAAUAGAAUUUGUAUCUUAAACAAGGUAACUUGGUAAAUGAGCUCACAAUUAGUUAUCUGAGGUUGGACAUGGGAUCUUGAGUAAUUAAUUUGCUUCUGUUUGUUUAACAAUUUGGAAAGAAGGUUAGUUACGAUAGUGUGGCGUUGAAGUUUCGUGAAUGUGUUUCCAUUUCUUUGCGUUCAUUAAUCUAUCAUUUUCGGUUUCGUUUUAAAUUCCAUUAGUUAGCUAUUAAUUUUGCUUAUCCUUAGACUUAGAGGUGUGCCUCGCCAAACAAAAAUAUAAAUGGCGGGCCCUCAAUAAUGGCUACAUAAAAUUAUUUAGAAUUCGGGAGGGCCGUUUAGCAAAUUUUGCGGCAUUUCCCAAAAUAAUAUUGCGCUAGAAUCUUUAGGCUCGUUUUAAUUAAAUUACUUUCUUACACUUGGGUGUGCAUUGAUGCGACCCAAAACCAAACCUCGACGAAGUCGAAACGUGUCGACGAUCACGUGUACACUGGCGGUGACGUGAUUAGAAAUACGUUUUCACGAUGUCGCAAGUCUUUUAAAAUAAAUAAUGGUAAAAGUGGUUUAUAAAUAAAAGGCACAUAAGCUAGCAUGUAUUAAAAUCAGAUAAAAUCAAAUGCAACAGUUAAGCUACCAUGCUAGAACCUGGGAAUGCCUAACACCUUCUCCGGGUUAACAGAAUUCCUUAUCCGGAUUUCUGGUUCACAGACUGUUAACAGAGUCAUAUCUUCCUCGGUUCGGGAUUCAAAUCGGUGACUUGGGACACCAUUAAUAUCCCAAGUGGAGACUUUGAAUAAUAACCAAAUCUCGCUCCGAUUGUCCUUUAAGUGGAAAAACUCCUUUACGCCCCUUUGUGGGGGUGUACAGUGAAAAAGGAGGUGUGACAAGUGUUACGCAGCAUGGGAUUAUUUUAUCCUCGAGUCUCAUGAGUGCAAGGACUCUUGGAUGAAUGAUACAUGCGAUGCUUCCAUCGUCGACCAUGAUCCUUUUAACAUCAGUAUCUAUUAUGUGUAAAGUAAUAACUAAUGCAUCAUAAUGAGGAAAACACAAACUGUCGGCAUCAGACUUAUCGAAGGUGAUACUAUCUUCGAAGUCAUCAUACCGUUCGUGAGCGAUGGUUCGAUUCAACUUGUGGGUGCUGGUGAAUUUGACGUGAUUGAUCGCUGAAUCAUUGUCAUCUCCAAUGAUCAUGUUGACGGUGCGUGUUGGCGAGGGCGGCCUUGGUGGGCCAUGGUGUUGUUCCCGCCCUCGUGCGAAGUUGAGCUUUUCUUUGUCGCUGAGCAGUUCUUUUAAGAACCCUUGGUUCAGCAUUCGGACCACCUCCUGACGGAGACCUAUGCAGUCCUCCGUUCUGUGCCCCCGUUCUCGGUGGAACUCGCACAGGGCGUUUAACCUUCUGGUGGCGGGUUCAGACUUCAUCUUUGCCGACCAUUGUACUUUGUUGCCCAGCUUCUCUAGUGCUUACACUACCUCUGAAGGAAAUACACAAAAGUUAUGUGCAGAUAAUGAAGGGGGCAUACCUCUGUCGUUCCUUAGCGGAGCGACAUCUCGUUGCAAGGCGUCUGCAUGCCUCGGCGGUGGCGGAUGCGAGGACCUAAUGUAUGGUUGGUUUCUUUCCCUGUUGAGGCGUGAGAUUUUCUCCCGCCUUCCCUCGUUGCGCCGGUUUCUUAGGAUUUCUGGGUGCACCGUUGUCAACCGUCGGUUGGCCGUUAAGGUCGUCAUCAUCCCUAUGUACCUUGGCACGAUAGGCGUUGUGUAUUUCUUCCCAGGUGGUGGGGGGAUAUUUCAGAAGACAGCUGAGUAGUUUCUUGGUCGCCCUCGAGCCAUCUCUGUUGCGCCCGUUCUGAAAGGCCACAACCACCAUGCCUUCGGAUACGUUUGGUAGGCUCUUUCUGGCACUGUUGAAUCUGGCUAGGAACUCCCUGAGUCCUUCUCCUGGGGUCUAUCGUAUAGCAAAAAUGUCGUUGACCGGUGCUUCCGCCUUCCUUGCCCCUGCAUGGGCGGUGGCAAAUUUAUCCGCUAUCUCCUCAAAUGUGGAGAUGUUUUUGGCCGGUAGCUGUGGGUACCAUGUUAGAGCCCCUCAUGUCAGCGUUUCGCCGAACUUCUUCAGAAGUACGGAUGGUACCUAUUCUUUUGAUAGAUCCUUGCCUUUGAUGGCUGUGAUAUAGUGGAUCAGGUGGUCCUCGGGAUCGGUGGUCCCGUCAUAUACUUUCCAGUAUGGGGCAUUUUGAAGGUUUUUGGGAUGGGAUAUGGCGCGGCUCCUUCCGUGUAGGGUUGUUCAACGAACCUCUCCAUGUCUCGCUCCAGCAGCAACUUAGGCGUGCCUGGGAUCUUAUCCACCCUUUCUUGGUGUUCCUUCAUCUGGUCGCGAAGCGAUCUAUUCUCAUUCUCUAUCUCUUCCGUCUUUUUGAGGAUGGCUGCGAGUGUUUCGUCAUUAGUUUGGAACGGAGCGACCUGUUCUCGUUUUCCAUUUUUUCCAUCUUUUUUAGGAUGGCCGUGAGUGUACCGUCGUUAGCUUGGACAUCGACGUGUACGUUGUUUGUUCUCGUGACCUCGAGCUCAUCCUCGGCUGCGAUAUGAUCUGCUGCUGGGGUACAUCUAUCAUUUUGAGGCGGCUUCUUAGCUAGACUGCUCAGAGUGUUUGUCAGCCACUCUUCUAGUAACUUUUUUUAUCUCCGGGGGUGCUUCCUUAGUUAUAGAUGUUGAAGGUUCUCUUUCUCGUGGUACCACCAGGUCUUAUGACGAGGAAGGUAGGGCUUCCACGCCUAUCAAGGUACUGGGGGUUAUGUGUAGGGCAUCUCCUUCAGCAGCCGCGUUGAGAGUGCCCGUGAGAUAUGUUCUAACCUCCAAGAUAGCUUUCGUUCUUGCGUUGUUCUCAGCCAUUUUAGGUUGUAGAGAGUGGCUUUUUUGAAGGAUCUCUAGAAACAAACUACAGCUUUGAUUCUCGAAAUCCCCACAGAUGGAGCUAAAUUGUUUGGCUAAAAGGUUAUUCGAAUGCUUAAAUAGCUCUAAAACAAUCAAAAUGAUAUGGGUUAAUCGGAAUCAAGGGUAAUGUGAUCUAGAGAAUAUAAAAUAAUCAAGAUCUGUGAUUAUAAUGUAACUGAAUCGAGAUAAAAGAACAAUAAUAUAUGUAGGAGGCUUUUUACAAGAUAUAUAGAGAGAGAGAAUUAGAUAGAGAGAGAGUUGUAUAUUUUCAAUAGUGAAAAUACACAUGAGUCUUUACAAAGGGAAGGUCUCCUUUAUAUACUAAGGGACCUUCCUCGAAAUAAUACAAAGAAAGUACAAGGGUUGGUGGCCUCGGUAUACGAGUGUCAGAUAUUGAUGUGACGUCGCAACGAGUCAUGUCACUCGGUCCGUUUAUUAACUAAAGCCGGCCUUACUCGAGUCAGCCAUACAGAGUUUGAUGUGACGUCGCAGCAAGUCAUGUCACUCGGUUCGUUUAUUGACUGGGGCCGGCCUUGCUUGAGUCGACCAUAAUGAGUCCGCUUCAUUCAUCGAGGACGUCUGUAGAUAAUAUACUGGCGUAGAAACCAAAUUUGUCCAAUACAAAACCAAAGCACAUCUCAGGACUAAAAAAACGUUUAACAUAAUAUAUACGCGUAUAAUAAUCUCUAUAUUAUUAUUCACUGUAUAAUAAUUUUUUGUUAUUAUUUGCAAUAUAAGCAGAUUUUGCGUAGCUAGUUGGAGAACCAAAUAGCCUCUUAGCUCACUUUGAUGUAAAAUCAAUGGGAAAACAUCAAUUAAAAGCAUACAUCAUUUAAUAUUUUUGAAUUAUAUAAGUAGAAAAAGAGAGAGAGAGAGAGAGUUGGCUUUUUAAUAUCGAGUGUCUCAUCAUUCAUCAACCUAUAUGCAUUUCGGCUAUUUAGAUGAAUACCAGUAAUUUCAUUCGUUAAAACAGAUUUUUGUUGUUACAAUCUCUCCGCACAGCUCGUUUGGACAUAAAUAUUUUUUCCUUUUUUCAAAUUUUUUUUUUCAAAAUGAUGUUUUGAUUAUGAACGUUUUAUAAUUUUUCACCGAAAAUCUAUAACUUGGACCCCAUCUACCCACUACAAUUAAAUACUCCGUCAACUACCAUUUCCCUUUGUUAUUGCCUACCAUUAAGAGAAUGGUUAAGGGUCAAAUAUAUCCUUGUACUAUUAAAAAUAUGUCAUAUUUAUCCUCCGUUUGAAUUUCUUAUCAAAUAUGUCCGCCACCGUUAUACAUUAGUGCCAUAUAUAUCCAUUAGCCGUUAAAACACCCUUCCAUAUUUUCUAGUAGCACGUGACAUCUUAUGAUUGGACCAGACGGCCCGUCCCAUUCCUUUAAUUAAACCUACCCCGACCCAAUAGUUAAGCUUAGACCCAACGUUAUAUUUGUUCCAUCCGUUUGCAUCGAGGUUUUCUUCUCCCUCACAAAGAAAAGAACUAGGGUUUCUUAUCAGUGCAGCUCCAUUGAAAGGCAUUCUCUCCCAGCUUUCUUCUUCGCUUAACAUAAACUGGGUUGUGAAGAUUUUCUACCAUAGCAAGUUUUGUCAUGUCUGAAAGUAGUUAUUCAUCAAAGAGGAGGUGCCAUUGUGGGGAAAUUGCCAAUCACUUCACUUCAACGACUCCAUUUAAUCCCGGAAGGAGAUUCUUUAAGUGUGCUAAACCUGAUGCAUGUAUUAUAGCCAAUCACUUCACUUCAACGACUCCAUUCAAUCCCGGAAGGAGAUUCUUUAUGUGCGCUAAACCUGAUGUAUGUAUUAUUUUGUUUAUUCUAAUUCCAUCUAAUUUUUUCGAUAAUUUAAAUUUCUCCCUUGUAUUAUUGGUUCAUAAUUAGAAGUCGUAUGCUUUUUGUUUGGUAGAUAAGCUCGUGCGAUUAUUGGAAAUGGCAAGAUGAUGUGUUACC
rnacentral:lncRNA from 1 species